UACAUAACUUAGAAGAGGAUCAUGGGGAGAUCUUCGUCUACAACUGUAGCAGCUUUGGCAAUCCUUGCAAUCAUAUGCUGCUCUCUGUCAUGCUCGUCGGCCAUCCGAGUUCAGCAGGAAGGAGACCGUCCGCCAUCUAGUCCUGGGGCGCCGGAAGCGGGGCGACCGGUUGGCUGUUGGGCCAGCGGUGCAUGCGCCGGGCCACCGGGAAUGAUGGCAGUUGAAGCGCCGCAGCGCAAGACUCUGCAGCUGCAGGCUGUGGCAAAUUGAAAGCGGAACGCCCCUUAUUACGUUUUUUGUAUGAGACAUGUUUUAGGGGUGCUGAUCGAUGUUCUGAGCUGAAUCUAGAAAGUGAUUGUUGUUCCUCUAUGAGUUCCAGGCCGUGUCGUUUUAUAGAUUUUUUGGUUGUUGUUAUUUUUGGUGUUGUUAAUUUGUUAUUCAUGUCAAUUUAUAAAUAAAUAUUUAAGUUAUUUUCA